AACGAACGCUGGCGGCAGGCUUAACACAUGCAAGUCGAACGCCCCGCAAGGGGAGUGGCGCACGGGUGAGUAACGCGUGGAUAUCUGCCCUUUGGUUCGGAAUAACCCCGGGAAACUGGGGCUAAUACCGGAUGGUUCCUACGGGAUAAAGACUUAUCGCCAAAAGAUGAGUCCGCGUACGAUUAGCUAGUUGGUGAGGUAAUGGCCCACCAAGGCGACGAUCGUUAGCUGGUCUGAGAGGCCGAUCAGCCACACUGGGACUGAGACACGGCCCAGACUCCUACGGGAGGCAGCAAUGGGGAAUAUUGGACAAUGGGGGCAACCCUGAACCAGCCAGGCCGCGUGAGUGAUGAAGGCCUUCGGGUUGUAAAGCUCUUUUGGCGGGGACGAUGAUGACGGUACCCGCAGAAUAAGCCCCGGCUAACUUCGUG
rnacentral:rRNA from 1 species